CUAUCAGAAAUUUAAAGGAGUUUGGCGCUACAGAAACUAAAGAAAUGUUUAAGAAGCAAAAAAGAGCAAUGACAAAAGGUGGAAGUGGAAGAUGAAGUCCGACGCGGAAAGCUUCCUGGUACAAGCAGAAGCGGCCAGGAGGAGGGGUGCUAGCCCGGCCAGUUGGCCCGGAAAGCUCCAGCUCGUACUCCGGAGGAACUCCAUACUAAAUCCUGAUCAGCGAGAGUUCGUCCGAAGUUAGAGUGCUAGGAAUGGUGUCUGGUAC
rnacentral:lncRNA from 1 species